GAUGAACGCUGGCGGCGUGCCUAAUACAUGCAAGUCGAGCGAACAGACGAGGAGCUUGCUCCUCUGACGUUAGCGGCGGACGGGUGAGUAACACGUGGAUAACCUACCUAUAAGACUGGGAUAACUUCGGGAAACCGGAGCUCAUACCGGAUAAUAUAUUGCACCGCAUGGUUCAAUAGUGAAAGACGGUUUUGCUGUCACUUAUAGAUGGAUCCGCGCCGCAUUAGCUAGUUGGUAAGGUAACGGCUUACCAAGGCAACGAUGCGUAGCCGACCUGAGAGGAUGAUCGGCCACACUGGAGCUGAGACACGGUCCAGACUCCGACGGGAGGCAGCAGUAGGGAAUCUUCCGCAAUGGGCGAAAGCCUGACGGAGCAACGCCGCGUGAGUGAUGAAGGUCUUCGGAUCGUAAAACUCUGUUAUUAGGGAAGAACAAAUGUGUAAGUAACUAUGCACGUCUUGACGGUACCUAAUCAGAAAGCCACGGCUAACUACGUG
rnacentral:rRNA from 1 species